UACGGGGGGGGCAAGCGUUGUCCGGAUUUAUUGGGCGUAAAGAGCGUGUAGGCGGCCAGGUAGGUCUGCUGUGAAAACUCGAGGCUCAACCUCGAGACGUCGAUGGAAACCAUUUGGCUAGAGUCCGGAAGAGGAGAGUGGAAUUCCUGGUGUAGCGGUGAAAUGCGCAGAUAUCAGGAAGAACACCUAUGGCGAAGGCAGCUCUCUGGGACGGUACUGACGCUGAGACGCGAAAGCGUGGGGAGCGAACAGG
rnacentral:rRNA from 1 species